rnacentral:lncRNA from 1 species
ACUGAAUAGGUUCUCCACCUCUUCUGAUUAGCUUGGGUAACCAUGAUAUGCUGCUAGGUGUCAUUCAUGGUUUGUGGAAGCCCUAAACGUGUGUAAUCACUAAAGGGAGAAUUGAAAGUAAGUUUCAAUUCACAAUCGAUGUAAAAUGGUUUUAAUCGCCCACUGCCUCGCUAAAAGGAAUCUAAUGGAUCGUACACCGUGUAAGGUGGAGAUUGAAGAAACAAUGGAGAUGAGUAAGAAUAAUUAAAUGGUUUAAUUAUUUAUGGCAAGGAUGAAUUAAUAUGUUAAUUAAUCAAACGAAUAAGUUCGUUAAAGACCUCGGGAUAGUUUUGGGCCUCAAGGCCCAAUGGGCUUCGAACGUCAAGUCCAUUGACUUAAGUUGUAUGACAACUUAAUUCACAAAGGCCCAAAAGCCCAAACAAAACCCCAUGGCCGGCCAUUUAGAGGAAGGGUAGUGAACUUGCUUUAAUUACAAGUUUGCCACUCAAAUGAAUAAAGGUAUAAAUAUGACUUUAUAGCCAAAAUUCAUUAGGGUUUCUUUUGGAGAAAAUUGGUGAGAACUUGUCUCUCCUUUUCUCUCUAAAGAGGCCGGCCCCUUGGAGGGGGUAUCUAGCCAUACUACUACUCCAAGGUCACUCAUUUCUUCUCCAAUCUAACCUUGGUGAAGAUACUUAGAGGUUCUCAAUUUUGGGAACUUAGAGAAACCUUUUCAUCCAUCCAAAUCCAUAGAUUUUAGAUGCAAGGAAUGAAGGCCCUCUCUAUGGGUGAUUAGCCUUUGCUUAUGCAAAGAGGAAUCUACAAAGGUAUGAUUUCCACUCACUUUGUUUUGAGUUGAGUUUUGGUUCACCAAUCUACUAGGCUUUGAAUUUCAUGGGUAAUGUUUUGUUUUUGAAUGCAUGCUAGCAUGAUUCCGCCUUUAAUUUGUUAAAUGCAUGCUAUAGAUGUUAUUCAAAUGAACAUGUUUUCACAAAAUAAUCCU